AGACGGGAAGCGGCGACGGGAUGCUGGUGGGGGGACCCCCGCGCUCUCCGGGCGACCCUCUGCAGCCUCUACUCUGCCCCGUCUGUCAUCUUCUCCCGACCCGGCGACCCCGUUCUCCCCCUCGCCCCUCAUUCCCCGGGACUGUCCUUCUUAACAGCGCCCUUCACCCCGCCCGGCCCGCGAGGUAGUCCUCAGCAGGGGACAAGGUCCGGACGUGGCGCCCCCAGAAGGAGCGCGGAGAGCCCCUGGGACCCAGUCCCGCCAGGUACGCAUCAGGGGCGGAGCUGGACUCGGGGGGCGGGGCUGGGGAGAGGGUGGCCCCUGCACACUAGUCCCCUCCCCUCGACCCCGCAGCCCCGCGGCGCGUUUCCUGAGGCGCCCCCGCCACGUCCCGCGAGUCUCUGCCAAGUUCCCGCGCGGGUGCGCCCCGGUCGCGCCCUCCCUGCGCCCGCCCAGGCCUGGGGAGCUCUGUGGGUGGAAGCCGGCGCCCCCUGGGGGCACCCGGGCGUGGCGAGGGCCUCGGCGGUCGGGAGGCCUCUGCGGGGCAGCGGUCGGGAGCGAGGCCACGGGGCGCCAGGUACAGCCGGCGGGACGUCCAGUGCCAGCGCAGGAGCCGGGCGAGGCCGUGGCCUCCAGGGUUCCUGGGCGGAGGACAAGGCGCGCAGCCGCGUUGGCGCGAGUUUUAAAUCGGUGCCUUCUCAGCUUUGCAAGUUCUUAUCAAUUGCUGCAUGCCAGAGGAAGUUUUUAAAAAAUGGCCCCCAGCUCUAUUGCGGUGUAAUUGAUGGAUAGAAAUUGUAUUUAUUUAAGGUGAACAGCUGGAUGAUGUGAUGGAGGCACGCAGGGUGGAGGGGUUACCACAGUCUAGGUACUCUACACAUCCAGAGCCUCCCACAGUUGACAAAUGGAUUUUCCUAAUCAGUUUCGUCGUGUUUUGUACUUAAGUUGAGGAUUCCACACCGUGUGGUACUUUCAGAAGAGAUGUAGUGGUGAAUCAAUCGCAACGGUAAGGGGAGCAGACCUGGACAUCUGAUACUUGAUCAGCAAUUCACCUUGCCUGAAAAUGUUUUGACUUUGUUUCAUGUUCCAAGUGCCGAAAUGAUCGCACGCCUCGUUAGAAGUUGAACGUUACUCUUUUCUUCAAAUGCAGGUUGUGAUGUUUUCCUAAUUAGGUAUUGAGAAUUACCAUUGGUAUUUGGAAUUAGAUUGCGGAGCAUUUAGGAACCGUUCUCGCUAUGUUGCCCAGGCUGGUCUUGAACUCCUCAGCUGAAAUGAGCCUCCCACCUCGGCCUCCCAAAGUGCUGGGAUUACAGGCGUCCCCUCUGCCCCAGUACUGUUUCCUCUCCCCAGCCCAGCCCCCACAGCUGCCUGCCCUGGCCUCACUCCCUGGCCUCCCCCAUCCCAGCCUCUGGGUCCCUGAGUCAGUCCCUGGGGCUGUCUGCCUUCUAGGGGAGCCUCUGGUGUGGACCAGAAAGUAACCUAAUCCCUUCCAGGCCCACCCUGGAAACAAAGGGAUUUGUCCACUAGCCUGGUGGUGAGAACCAUGUGGCCUCCUGUCUCUGGCAGAGAGGACUCCAGGAUCAAGGGCAGGUAAAAGGAGGAGCCUCCUGGGGAGCUUCAGAAGGAGGGUCCCAAGUCCCUCCUGCCCCACUUCUGUGCCUGGGUCACUCACACCCCUGCCUGACUCUAGCCCCCCUUCUCCAGGGGUCUCCACAACAUGUGAAUCAUGCCCAGCGUCUUCCAUUACACCCUUGAUAAAGUCCUCUCCUCACCAGGACCUCUGUCAUUUUACCUCAUGGUUUUGAAAUAAUUUUUGGUCUUCUUAGCAGUUUAAAAAUAUUGUUUUGUUUUUUUUCCUGAGUUUGGAGCAUUCCUGUUACUAAUUACAUUUUUUUUUUAGACAGGUGUACACUACUACACCCAGCUAAUUUGUUUUGUUUUGUUUUGUUUUGGUAGAGAUAGGAUCUUGCUAUGGUACCCAGGCUGGUCUUCAACUCCUGGGCUCAAGCAAUCCUCCUGCAUUGGCCUCCCAAAGUGCUGGAAUUACAGGCAUGAGGCAGCACGCCCAGCCCUAAUUACUUCUAUUACGCCAAAUUCCUUGUGUGGAAUUCCUGUGCUUUGCACACAAAUUGCCAGGUUGGCCCCAAAGGGGAAAAAAGUGGAUCCCAUUUUCCCAUCUUCUAUGCCUACGUGGCUGACAAAUCUCCCGAAUCCCACAGGAGCUGUCGCUGAUCUUUGUCCUCUAUUCGCUGAAAUAAAGUUCAC
rnacentral:lncRNA from 1 species